rnacentral:misc_RNA from 1 species
GAUGAAGAACGCAGCGAAAUGCGAUAAGUAAUGCGAAUUGCAGAAUCCGUGAGUCAUCGAAUCUUUGAACGCACAUUGCGCCCGCUAGUAUUCUGGCGGGCAUGCCUGUCCGAGCGUCAUUUCAACCCUCAGGCCCCCGGGCUUGGUGUUGGGGAUCGGCGAGCCUCCGCGCCCGCCGUCCCCUAAAUCUAGUGGCGGUCUCGCUGUAGCUUCCUCUGCGUAGUAGCACACCUCGCACUGGGAAACAGCGCGGCCACGCCGUUAAACCCCCAACUUCUGAACGUUUGACCUCGGAUCAGGUAGGAAUACCCGCUGAACUUAAGCAUAUCAAUAAGCGGAGGA